UAAGCGGAGGAAAAGAAACUAACAAGGAUUCCCCUAGUAACGGCGAGUGAAGCGGGAAGAGCUCAAAUUUGUAAUCUGGCACUUUCAGUGUCCGAGUUGUAAUCUCGAGAAGUAUUUUCCGCGCCGGACCGCAUACAAGUCUGUUGGAAUACAGCGUCAUAGUGGUGAGAACCCGUAACUGAUGCGGAUGCCCGGUGCUUUGUGAUAUACUUUCGAAGAGUCGAGUUGUUUGGGAAUGCAGCUCAAAUUGGGUGGUAAAUUCCAUCUAAAGCUAAAUAUUGGCGAGAGACCGAUAGCGAACAAGUACCGUGAGGGAAAGAUGAAAAGCACUUUGGAAAGAGAGUUAACAGUACGUGAAAUUGUUGGAAGGGAAACACUUGACGUCAGACUUGCGCUUCGGAGUUCAGCCGCAAGGUGUAUUCUUCGAUUUGCAGGCCAGCAUCAGUUUUCGGGGGUGGAAAAUCGUGAUUUGAAGGUAGCAGUUUCGGCUGUGUUAUAGCUUUUCACUGGAUUCAUCCUUGGGGACUGAGGAACGCAGUACGCUUUUUGCAAGGCUCUCGAGCUUUUCGUACUUAGGAUGCUGGUGGAAUGGCGUUAAAUGACCCGUCUUGAAACACG
rnacentral:rRNA from 1 species